GCACAUGACAGCCAGACCAGCAGUUUCUAAAAGGCUUGGACAGGCUAUUCAUACACGCUUGGCAUAAAAACGCACACACACAAACUGAUCGACCACACCGUUUCUGGGAAUGACCACAGCUCUCUGGGCCAUCAAAGAUGAGGGGACUCUCCAGCAGUCAUGCUCUACCAACAUUGGAAAAUCCUUCAUAAUCCCUGCCAAUUUUGGAGGAACUCAAGCAAAUAAUUAGCAAAUUUGGAUGGAUAUCACUGCCUGGGCAGCCUCUUGAGGAAAACACUACAAAAAGAUCAAAUCGCAAUAUCCAUCAGAGUGAUCAUGAUUAGAUAUGACCUACUGAUCCUGGAUUAGAUCACUCCCAUCAGAACAGGACGAAGGUGAUCCAUCACAACAACUUCGUAUUGCAGUGAUCCUUCCCUUCAAGGUGGACAAGCAGGCCCAGAACAUGCCCCCAGAGUGGAACAGAGUCAUUGGAUCCCCUAAUUGUGGCGAUAAAGGGGUUCAGGUUUUCCUUAUAGUUUUUCACUCGUGUGUGCACAUCACUACCUCAGUGGAUAGAGUCAGGCAAGAGUGUGGCAAGAGAGGUUGUGGCUUUUAGUGACCUUUGCCACCGAGGAGACAGCAGUUACCUCACUCUAAUGCAGUGGGAUUGAGCAUAUCUGCCCUCGUGUAAAAAAAAAAAAAAAAAAACAAGACAAAAAAAAACCCCAGUGAAAUGUCUCUUACGUCAGAUUUUCUGAUUGCAUAAUACUUAUCUCUCCCCAUCACUGACUCAGACAGCAGUGACAAAAUCACUCCCCUGGGGUGCAGGAGAGCUCGUGUGGUAAAGGUCUUAUCAAAACUGAACAAUCUAGACUUUUCUAUGGGAUUUUUAAAAAGUUAAACACGUUUUAAAGACGGGUGUAAGUGAAACACCCAUUUAGACAGAUACACCCCGAACUCAAACAACUUCCGCAACGGGUUUGUGUACACUGUUCAUCCACUCUCGACACUAAAAACACAAACGGAGAAACACGUUCGUUCCACCGUGAAUUCAAAAGCUAUAGAACUACACAAAAAGCUAUUUUUAACCAAAAGCUACACGUACAUUUUAGAAAUAUCCAUAAGAAUGACUUUAGUUGUCAUGGAAUUCGGGGUUGAAUCAUCUUUACGACAACCUUGUAAAACGAUGUGAGU
ensembl:lncRNA